UGUGAUUUGGUUUGAGAUGCUGGUAGUGAUUGUUGGGGACUGGUCUAGGUUUAAAAUUGUGAUUGUGCAUUACACCCUUAGAAAAAGACUGUUGGACACAUUAGGAACAGGGCUGCUGCUUCUUGUGUUUUUGGGUUGGUUAGAAUCGCAGUGUUAGGCUCUUUGUUGGCGCCUGUUCCCCUACUUCAGUUGUCCUCUUGCCUUGUUUGUAUUUAUGUUUACUUAUUUACCCUCCUGGUUACGCAAUAAAUGAAAUCAGUAAAUUUUAUUUGGCAAUAACACCUGGUUUUAUGUUGCUUCCCCUUUCCCCAGCUGGGUCAUAACAAAGACUGCCAACAUACGGUGACUGGUAAGACAGCUGUAUAUCACAGAUUUUAUGUAAGUAUAAGGAAAAGCAUGAUUGUAUUUUAUAUCCCAUGCAUAGAUUUAUAUACUGUAAAAGUAAAUCAAAAUGUUUUGUAUGCAUCAAAUGUGUCAAUAUCAGUCAAGUUAAGCUCAAUGUCUUAGUUUUCACACUUGAGUUAAAACAAAGUCGGUUUGCAAUGUGGACAAUUAACAUGUAGCUUUACUUUUUAAAUGUCAGCUUUGGUGGUUGUGCUGUAAAGGUGCAAUAUAAGAUGUGGCCAGAAAUUUAUUAAAAAAGACACUAUCAACAGUGUGAAGCAGCCACAGUGACGAUGUCAUGAUCAAGACCUCCAUCUGUUGUAUUUCAGAGUUAUCUACUGAAAUGCGCAUGCGCACCAGCCGGCCCGACCUGUCCCCGUGUUGUAAUACCACUUUGUGACACUAGACGCUGUGUGAGUCGGUGGCGCGUCAAGUCUGCUCUCAGUCCCACGAAGAAGAACAACUUCCGGCAGCGUUUGAAGUUAGCAUCACAGAAACGCAGGAAUGGCUGAACCUCCUAAAAGACGAUAUUCAUCUGCAUCCUGAAGGAUCGCUCCCGACAAGAAACCACGUUCAACGGCAAAGAAAAGAAGCGACACGAGUAAAUCUGGAUGUGGCUUCCCGCCGCUGGAGAAGCUGCUGAGAGGAAAGAGAUGCGGUUUGAUGCCGAGCUCGCAACUUUCCUGUUAGCCUGGAGAUUUCAGCAUCCCUCUGUCUUCAUCAGGACCUGAGCCAGUACAGGUGCAAUACCGCCUCCACCUGUCUCACCAACAGCUGAGAGUCCAGACACAGUGAGGAGGGUCCAGGAGCAGAAGUCCAGUCUAAUCACCAAUGAUGGACCAGCACCUGCCUUUUCUUCUGCAUUUGGCCUCAUCAGUUAUCAGCCACAUUACUUCAACAUGUUGAGGGUUGGCAGAAUCCUCCUCAGGCUGGAACCAUACCUUUGCAGCCCCCUGAAAGCAAGAAAUGCUCCAUGCAGAGGAUCCAGCUCGUCCCCCCCAGGACUGAACCGCCCCUCAGGCUUCUGUUGCUGUUUACCAACCUCGCCGUGGUGCCAGAUGUAAAGUGAUCAGGGGAUCAGCAAAGUAAGCAGGGUUCAUCUUCUGGGGUCCACUAACAUCAAAACAACUAACACUGUCGAUUCUAGAAAAUAAGAGGCACAGAUACAGACCUGCAGUGGCCUGAGCCAGAGCUUUCCUUCAGCUGUGGCAGUUGAUCCCCUUUUACUUCUGAUGUUAUUCAAACAUUUCCAGGAAAAUGACCUUUCCUGGUGAUUUAAUACACUUUUCUGCAGUGGAGGAGGACUGUUCAGGGCAGGAUAAAGAGCCAUUCAUCUGACUAGAAAAAUCAGAUUUCACCUUUUGACUGAACAGAGAAGUACUACAUGUUCUUGGCAUAAAGUCGUUUUAAUAAAUCAGUGUUACAGAAUGAAGCACUGAAAAACACACUGUGAAGGAUUUACAGACCGAGCAGAAAUAACUACAAAUUGUCAGAGUGCUUGUGAAAACUUUUUUAUUCACCCACAAUACGCCACGUUCCCUGCUAAUUACACAGUUUAAUUCAUUCUCACCAGCAGCGGUUUGGUGGUUGAUUCUCUCUAAACGGUUAAAGGGCAAUGCAACUAAAUUUGACUUGAAAACUAAACCUCAAUCCACCGAGACAACACCAUCUCCAGUAACUUCAUUAUCGAAAAUACGAAUUUCUACUCCUCCUCCAGAGUUUGCAGCACCUGGGAUUUUGCAGUUCAUUGAAAGUGAUUUUUCCAGCCAGGAGACAGUUUACAGGGGAGAUGGGUCAAUGGGUAAUUUAGAUUUGAGAGCUAAAGAAGCUGAUCUUCUUAUGUAAUGCUCCUAAUGUUCCCCGCGCUGCUUCACAGAGAUCCUGUUCCCAAAUUUAGACCGAUCCAUCCGAAGCCUCAGAUACAAGAAAAAUAAAAUAAUGAGUGUGAUCAGGUUGCCAGGCAGUGGCUUCGACAAACAGAGUCUGACUCUGUAAUAUUGCUGCUGUUGUCUCCAAAGAUAACACUUUAAAGCUACCGUGCUUCUCUGUGCUAUUGAUUUUCUUUUUUUAAUUCAACCAAGAAACAUCAAAAACACAUCAGAUUGAUUUGAUAACCUGUUAUUGUUCAAGUGUUUUAAUCGCUCAGCCUUCAGCUCCACUUGAUUUCUCUGAGCGGCUCUGAAAACACCAGGCAAACAGUUCUUUCUUUAUCUUCACUGGUUGUUUAUCUCAAAUACAGUAAGCUCUAUAAUUAUUGUGUCCUCUCUGCCGCCGUGUGAACUUUUAUUAUUACUGUUAUUAUUAUGAUAAAUAUAACUAAUUCUGAAGAUUUGGCAAAUAUUACAGAUUCACAGUCAGAGUUGUGAUGAACUGGUGAUGUAAUAAAUGAGUUAUUAAUCUUUAUCAAAAGAAUAGAGAAUUUACGCACCAGCUUAUCUUGUACAAACUCUGUAAUCAUCAAACCAGCUGCAGCUGUCGCUCAUAAAAAUAAUGUGCCAUGAAUUUCUAAUGAUAUGAGGGUCACACAGGGUUUGAAGUUAUCAAUCACAAACUAAUUAAAUUGUUUAAUUAAAAAAAUUGUAUGAAAAAAGUGUCAUGGCAGUAACUGCAUCCAUGUUCACCAGCAACACAACAGAAGUGUUUCCAGGGGACACUGAAAAGUGAUGAACAGUUUCCUGUCUCACCUGUUUGUUUGUGGAUUCCUUGUCUCUUGUGCUCAUUGUGUGUGUGCUUGUACUAGUGUGAGAAAAUCAUAUAUAUAAUAAUGAAAAAAAAGAAAUUGUGUUGGUUACAGCUGCUUAAGCAUCGACUUUCAUAUCAAACUGUCCUGAACCUCCAGACAUGUCGCAGCCGUCGUGUCUGUUGUGCAGUCGGUGCUGCUUUACAACCACACCAGCCAAUAUUUAGAUGUUUCCCAGCAAAGUUACACUGACGUCUGAGGGCACGGGGAUUUAUUUGGGGCAUGAAAACAAUGAUGAUUUCAGCGCGGACAGACCCGUGCGCUCAGAUGUAUUACAUCAACAUUGCAGCAGUGUUUGCAUCAGCCUGCAGAGAUCACACAGCCGCCUCUACCGUCACACACGCUCCAAAAAUACAGACAUUUCACACAUUAUCCACCGGGAAUUUAUAUCAGGUAGAAUUUAAUAAUGUGUCACAUAACCAGCUGUGGCUUGUGUCUGCUGCUGCGCUGACGGCCUUCACCACAAAAUACACAUCCUGUGCCUCUAACUGAAAGCAUCUGGUCUGGUGCAAGACAAAAAACACCUCAAAAAGAAACAUGCUGAAGUCUUUG